rnacentral:rRNA from 1 species
AUUGAACGCUGGCGGCAGGCCUAACACAUGCAAGUCGAGCGGGGUUUUCGGACCUAGCGGCGGACGGGUGAGUAAUGCGUAGGAAGCUACCCGAUAGAGGGGGAUACCAGUUGGAAACGACUGUUAAUACCGCAUAAUGUCUACGGACCAAAGUGUGGGACCUUCGGGCCACAUGCUAUCGGAUGCGCCUACGUGGGAUUAGCUAGUUGGUGGGGUAAUGGCUCACCAAGGCGGCGAUCCCUAGCUGGUUUGAGAGGAUGGUCAGCCAAACUGGAACGGGUACACGGUCCAGUCUCCUACGGGAGAACGCAGUGGGGAUUAUUGGACAAUGGUCGCAAUCCUGAUCCAGCCAUGCCGGGUGUGUGAAGAAGGCCUUCGUGUUGUAAAGCACUUUCAGUAGGUAGGAAGGGUGUUGUUUUAAUAGCACAGCAUUUUGACGUUACCUACAGAAGAAGCACCGGCUAACACUGUGCCAGCAGCCGCCGUAAAAC